rnacentral:rRNA from 1 species
UCAGUAACGGCGAGUGAAGCGGCAAGAGCUCAAAUUUGAAAUCUGGCCCCUCCGGGGUCCGAGUUGUAAUUUGUAGAGGAUGCUUCGGGUGCGGCCCCUGUCUAAGUGCCCUGGAACGGGCCAUCGGAGAGGGUGAGAAUCCCGUCUGGGAUGGGGUGUCCGUGCCCGUGUGAAGCUCCUUCGACGAGUCGAGUUGUUUGGGAAUGCAGCUCUAAAUGGGUGGUAAAUUUCAUCUAAAGCUAAAUACUGGCCGGAGACCGAUAGCGCACAAGUAGAGUGAUCGAAAGAUGAAAAGCACUUUGAAAAGAGAGUUAAACAGCACGUGAAAUUGUUGAAAGGGAAGCGCUUGCGACCAGACUCCCCCACCGGGUUCAGCCGGCUUUCGGGCCGGUGUACUUCCCCGGGGGCGGGCCAGCGUCGGUUUGGGCGGCCGGUCAAAGGCCCCCGGAAUGUAACGCCCCUCCGGGGGCGUCUUAUAGCCGGGGGUGUCAUGCGGCCCGCCCAAACCCAGGAACGCGCUUCGGCACGGACGCUGGGAUAAUGGUCGCAAACGACCCCUCUUGAAACACGGACCAAGGAGUCUAACAUCUACCCCAGUGUUCGGGUGGCAAACCCCUGCGCGCAGUGAAAGCGAACGGAGGUGGGAGCCCCCUCGAGGGGCGCACCAUCGACCGAUCCUGAUGUCUUCUGAUGGAUUUGAGUAGGAGCGUAGCUGUGGGGACCCGAAAGAUGGUGAACUAUGCCUGAAUAGGGCGAAGCCAGAGGAAACUCUGGUGGAGGCUCGCAGCGGUUCUGACGUGCAAAUCGAUCGUCAAAUUUGGGUAUAGGGGCGAAAGACUAAUCGAACCAUCUGGUAGCUGGUUCCUGCCGAAGUUUCCCUCAGGAUAGCAGUAACGCGUAAUCAGUUUUAUGAGGUAAAGCGAAUGAUUAGAGGCAUUGGGGUUGAAACAACCUUAACCUAUUCUCAAACUUUAAAUAUGUAAGAAGCCCUUGUUUCUUAAGUGAACGUGGGCAUUAGAAUGGAGCGUUACUAGUGGGCCAUUUUUGGUAAGCAGAACUGGCGAUGCGGGAUGAACCGAACGCGAGGUUAAGGUGCCGGAAUACACGCUCAUCAGACACCACAAAAGGUGUUAGUUCAUCUAGACAGCCCGACGGUGGCCAUGGAAGUCGGAAUCCGCUAAGGAGUGUGUAACAACUCACGGGCCGAAUGAACUAGCCCUGAAAAUGGAUGGCGCUCAAGCGUGUUACCUAUACCUUGCCGUCGGGGUAGAAAUGAUGCCCCGACGAGUAGGCAGGCGUGGGGGUCCGUGACGAAGCC